rnacentral:lncRNA from 1 species
CGAUAGCAUCCGUGAUACCCAGGAGAAAGUAUUGACCUACUCUCAACAUCAAAGCCCAGCUUUGCUUCCACCAUCUUCCUGCCUCAGUUUCCUCAUCUGGAAACAGGGAUGAAAUUGUGACGAUGAGUAGAUCCUGCUCUGUCCUAUGUUAACUAAAUGACCCCGAAGAAGACAUUUGACUGUUUAAGGCUCUCAUCCAAAAUAUCACAUUAUGUUUGUAGUUGCCAUGUAUCCUUAAGCUCUUCUUGGUUAUGGCAAUCUCUCAGACCUUCAUUUUUUUUUAUGACGACCAGUUUUGAGGAGUACUGAUCAAGUUUUGAAGAAUGCCCCUGUAUUGGAAUUUGUUUUUCUCAUUGUUUAACUGGGGUUAUGGGUCUUUGGGAGGAAGUCUGCAGAGGUAAAGUGCCAUUUUCUUAACAUCGUGUCAAUCUAUUAAUAUAGUUUGUCACCGUUAAUGUUGACCUUGAUCUGCUGGUUGGGGUAACGUUUGUCAGGUUUCUCCACUGUAAAGCUACUUUUCCCAUUUCCCCUUGACCUAACUGUGCUCUUUGGAAUGAAGUUACUGUGCACAGCCCACGCUUAAGGAGUGGGGAGUUACAUAACCCUCCUCAAGUGGGCAGCAUCUAUGUACUUUAUUUGAAAUUCUUCUCCAUGGAAGAUCCUUCUUUCCUUCCUUCCUUCCUUCCUUCCUUCCUUCCUUCCUUCCUCCCUCCCUCUUUCCUUCCUUCUUUCCUUCCUUCCUUCCUCCCUCCUUCCUUCCUUCCUUCCUUCCAUCAUUUAUGUCAAUGUGAACUCUGGAUAUUUAGUUUAUAUUUUGGUUUACAAUCCAAUACAGGAAUACCUC